AUGAGGGCCGCCGGCAGGCUGGAAACUAGCUACUGCGGUCGCAGUUGCUCUCUGAAGCCGCAAGGCAGCCAUAUUUUUAUGAGUCCAGCCAGGAAUCCAGGUACUAAAUGCACAAAGCUGGAAACCAGAAAUUCAAGCUGUGAUUUCUUCCUCUUUGUUCUGCUGAUCUUGGAGCACUACCCUACUCAAGGCUACUUGGGAGCCACUUGGUGCUCUAGCUGCUCUGUCUUUACAAGUCAGAAGAGAGAAACAAUAUUGAGAAUGUUUCCAGUUCUUCAGAUAUUGGACUUCUGGGAGUUCCUGUCGUGGCUCAGCAGAAACAAAUCUGAGUAGCAUCCAUGAGGACGCAGAUCCCUGAGCAAUCAUCUAAGAAGUCUGAUCACCUGAAUAGACCACAUGGAGAGACUGUGGGAGCACAUGAAGAGAGGUGGGCAGGGGGAACCCAGCUGCAUCCAACAAUCCAGAAAUCCCUAACAAGAUGCUAGACAUGAAGGAAACCAUCUUGGAUCCACCAGAUCAACCUAGCCACCAGCUGGAUACCACUGAGAGAUGCCAGUGGAGCAGAAUUGUCCAAUAAGCCUUGCCCAAAUUUCUCACCCACACAAUUAUGAGUAUAAUAAAAUGAUUAUUGUUU
rnacentral:lncRNA from 1 species